rnacentral:tRNA from 1 species
GUUCCUGUAGCUUACAUCAAAGCGUGGCACUGAAGAUGCCAAGACGGCACCCAUUAAAUUCCCAGGAACA